CUUAUUGUUAGUCGGGUCCUUUUAAUAAGGUCUAAAACGUGUAUUUGUUAUUUCAGGAGGCGAACGCUCAAGAUCACCAUUCAGACGUUUUGUAUUUGAUGCCAAUCACAAAUUUUCAGGUUGGGCCUCUUGGGAACAGUAUGCGGCUUGUUCUACACGCUGUGUAUCCGGAUACGAAACUGACACAAAGAGAUGUUGUGAAACGGGCGACAAUAGGCUUUGCUAUUACUUACCAUGGGAUCAGCUUAAAGUAUACAUAGGAACAUGCCCGAAUGAAACAACCGCAACUCAAACACCAUCGUCAACAUUGCCAACAACAACAACGAAAACAACAAGAGCUACAACAAAAACAUCAUCAACGCCUUCAUCAACAUUGGCAACAACAACAAAAGCUACAGCAAAAACAACAACGUUUAGAGGGCCCUAUACAAUACCUCCAAAACCAACAACAUGUAAGGUAUGCUCAGGCCCUUUAUUUCUAUGCGAGCAGAUUUACGUGGACAAACAGUGCAAUCCACCUAACAACUAUUGCAUAAAUAAAUUAUCAAAUCAUAAGGAUGGUACAAGAACGGUGACAAGAGGGUGUGGGACCUUCGAUACCUGUUACAGAGAUUGGUUUCUAGGGUCUUCUGAUGCUGAUAAGUGUCGAAUUUUUGACGAAAACGACAUUAGAACUUAUGAUUUUGAUUGCACGUACUGUUGUAUCACCGAUGGUUGCAACGAAUCAAUACGUCCACCAGACAGAACAUUAUACAAAGAUCUUUAAAUCAGCUUAUUGUAAAUAAAGCAGUAACAGCCAA